UUUGCAGCUUUUCCUCGCAUUGUUGUUGCGGUCGUGUGUGCGCAAUAUGCGAAACAAGUUCGUUGCCCAAGUCAUUCGUUUGAUUUUGAGUUUUGUUCUGUCAGAUGCCUUGCGCAAUGCGGUCCGAUGGUAGCGAGUUCACAAGUCAGCAGUGAGUGCAGAACCGGCCACUACGCUUUGUGGUGAAAAAAACCGCAGAAAAGAGGGAGUCGAUGGAAAAAAAAAACAAUACCAACUGCAGUAAUUGAACAAACCGGUGACCUUGACCAACGUCGAAUGGAAUUCACUGGAAAUCAAACUGCAAUCAAUACACAAAAGAGUUCAGCAGCGUGGUAAAAAAUGUUAGAAAAAGCGUAAUUGAUUAAUAAAAUCUCGGGGGCACAAUAUGCUUGUCAUACACAUUUCAUUUAAAAUCUGAUAAUAUAGUAAAGAAAA